rnacentral:rRNA from 1 species
GACGAACGCUGGCGGCGUGCUUAACACAUGCAAGUCGAGCGGUAAGGCCCUUUCGGGGGUACACGAGCGGCGAACGGGUGAGUAACACGUGGGUGACCUGCCCUUAGCUCUGGGAUAAGCCUGGGAAACUGGGUCUAAUACCGGAUAUGACUCCAUGACGCAUGUUGUGGGGUGGAAAGCCUUGUGCGGCUAGGGAUGGGCCCGCGGCCUAUCAGCUUGUUGGUGGGGUGAUGGCCUACCAAGGCGACGACGGGUAGCCGGCCUGAGAGGGCGACCGGCCACACUGGGACUGAGACACGGCCCAGACUCCUACGGGAGGCAGCAGUGGGGAAUCUUGCGCAAUGGGCGAAAGCCUGACGCAGCGACGCCGCGUGGGGAUGACGGCCUCGGUGU